AUCCACACACACACACACCGUCCCAGGCCACUGCUGCUCUCCAUUCCUGUUCUGCCUGGUUGUGUGUGGGGUGUGUGUGUGUGUGUGUGUGUGAAGAGACCCUCUGGGUCAAAGGUGAGAGUCCGCCUCGGCGAUGAGGUCACAGAGCCCCCUCUGCUCCUCCUCCUCCUGCUCCCCCUGCUCCCGGGGAUCCCCCAUGGUACCGUGGGCCACCCUGGCCCUCGUGGCCCUCCACACGGCCCUCUUCCUCCACCCCCUCUGCCCCCCCGGGAGCGCCUGCCUGAGUGUCCAGACCGUGUGGGGCCAGGGCCAGUGGGGCCGGCUCCUGCUGGCCCCCUUCCACCACCUGGGCCCCUUCCACCUGCUGGCCAACUUGCUGGCCCUGGGCUGGCUGGGCAGCGGUCUGGAGCUGGAGGUGGGCACCCUGAGGGCAGGGGCGGCGCUGCUGGCCCUGGCACUCCUGGGGGGCCUCCUCCACCUGGCCCUCAACGCCGCCCUGGCUGCAGCCACCGGGGAGCAGGGCUACUGGCACCACUGCGCCGUGGGCUUCUCAGGUGCGCCUCCCUGGCCAACUUGCUGGCCCUGGGCUGGCUGGGCAGCGGUCUGGAGCUGGAGGUGGGCACCCUGAGGGCAGGGGCGGCGCUGCUGGCCCUGGCACUCCUGGGGGGCCUCCUCCACCUGGCCCUCAACGCCGCCCUGGCUGCAGCCACCGGGGAGCAGGGCUACUGGCACCACUGCGCCGUGGGCUUCUCAGGUGCGCCUCCCGCCCUCCCGCCUCGGGCAGGCGGAGGCCAACGCCAGGGCAAAGCCAGCCCAGCUGGGGCGCCCAGCAGGCCGUGGGAAGCGGGGCGCUUCCUAGCACGGCAUGGGACGGGCAGCGGGGGGGGGAAUGCCAAGGGGCCCCUCUCCCUCCCCCCCCAAUGGAAACACCCUGAGCCUUUCCCUGCUGCCCCCUCCGGUCCAUGGGGCUCCUCUCAUUUCUCCCCCUCCGGCCCCUCUGCAGGAGUCCUCUUCUCCCUCGAAGCGAUGGGCCGGCCGGUGGGGCCCCCUCUGCCGCCAACCACCACUGGGGGCUUCACCCUCACAACCCGGUGGCUCUGCCUCUUGGAAUGCCUGGCCCUGGCCGUCCUCUUUCCCAGGAGCUCUCUGACGGGCCACCUCUCCGGGAUCCUGGCCGGGCUGGCCUUUUCUACGGUGCCCUUCCUCUAUCUGGACACCGGCUGAAGCUCCCAGCGCUCUCCAGCCACCGCCACCAGGAAGGAGCCCAUGCACCAGGAGGUCCCAUCCAGCUGACAGGAGUAUUCCCAGGCUCUCUGGAACAAUACAGCCCUCUCACCUCUUCCAAAAGUGAUUCUGAACCAUGCUUCGUGUCUGCAGAAGAUGGGAGGCUUCUGCCAUACAGAGGUGGUGUGGGGUAGUGGUUAGGGACCUCAGGGGCUGGGGAAAGGGAGAAAAUCCAAGUUCUAGCUGUCUUCUCCCUUCCCUUCCACCCUGAGCCAUGAAAUUCACAGGGAGAUUGUGGGUUAGUCACUCAACCGGACCCCUCUCGAACCCACAGGGUGGUCGCAACACCCAAGGGGAGAGAGCGAGCAGUGGGGUCACCGGAAGUGGCAGGAGAAAAAAGUAUCAGCUAACCAACUAGCUUAAUUCAGGGCUGGCCUUGUGCCUUUCAGCCAGGAACUACCACACCCAUCACCCCCUAGUCAGCAUGGCCAGCGGCUGCUGUGCUAGUUGGGAGCGAUGGGGAGACUGUAAUUCCAACACAUAUCGGAAGCACCACCACCACCACAAAAGGAGCAGGCAGGCUGGGACCAAAAAACUGGCCACUUUUUUGACUAAAAGUCCCAGAAUCCCCCCAUGACACCCAACUGGAUGCUGGCUGAGGCACAGAACCCCUGGCCCUCCAGGGGACAAGGGUGGCUUUGCAAACAUCCAAACAGGGGCUGGGUAAGUGGAGAUCUCAACUGGAAUAGCUCUGCAUUUAACACCAACCCUUUGGGGCACCAGGGGGGGGAGGGGAGAGAAGCAGGGCUGGGACUCUCUCGGCCGUUAAGAGGCAGCUCUGGGUUCAAGCUUCAUUCCUCAGUGCUUCCUUUUUUAAAGAACCCCCAAAGUUCAACAAACUCUACCUGCUAGCGCUAAAAUCUGGCCCUUUAAAAACAUGUUCUGGAGCUAAAGAUAGUCCAAAUCCUGCAACUCCUGAAUGCUGGGCUUUCUCUGGCAU
ensembl:lncRNA